rnacentral:rRNA from 1 species
GAGUGGCGGACGGGUGAGUAACGCGUGGGUAACCUGCCCUGUACAGGGGGAUAACAGCUGGAAACGGCUGCUAAUACCGCAUAAGCGCACGAGGAGACAUCUCCUAGUGUGAAAAACUCCGGUGGUACAGGAUGGGCCCGCGUCUGAUUAGCUGGUUGGCAGGGUAACGGCCUACCAAGGCAACGAUCAGUAGCCGGUCUGAGAGGAUGAACGGCCACAUUGGAACUGAGACACGGUCCAAACUCCUACGGGAGGCAGCAGUGGGGAAUAUUGCACAAUGGGGGAAACCCUGAUGCAGCGACGCCGCGUGGAGGAAGAAGGUCUUCGGAUUGUAAACUCCUGUUGUUGAGGAAGAUAAUGACGGUACUCGACAAGGAAGUGACGGCUAACUACGUGCCAGCAGCCGCGGUAAAACGUAGGUCACAAGCGUUGUCCGGAAUUACUGGGUGUAAAGGGAGCGCAGGCGGGAAGACAAGUUGGAAGUGAAAUCUAUGGGCUCAACCCAUAAACUGCUUUCAAAACUGUUUUUCUUGAGUAGUGCAGAGGUAGGCGGAAUUCCCGGUGUAGCGGUGGAAUGCGUAGAUAUCGGGAGGAACACCAGUGGCGAAGGCGGCCUACUGGGCACCAACUGACGCUGAGGCUCGAAAGUGUGGGUAGCAAACAGGAUUAGAUACCCUGGUAGUCCACACCGUAAACGAUGAUUACUAGGUGUUGGAGGAUUGACCCCUUCAGUGCCGCAGUUAACACAAUAAGUAAUCCACCUGGGGAGUACGACCGCAAGGUUGAAACUCAAAGGAAUUGACGGGGGCCCGCACAAGCAGUGGAGUAUGUGGUUUAAUUCGACGCAACGCGAAGAACCUUACCAAGUCUUGACAUCCUGCGACGAUGCUGGAAACAGUAUUUUCCUUCGGGACGCAGAGACAGGUGGUGCAUGGUUGUCGUCAGCUCGUGUCGUGAGAUGUUGGGUUAAGUCCCGCAACGAGCGCAACCCUUACUGUCAGUUACUACGCAAGAGGACUCUGGCAGGACUGCCGUUGACAAAACGGAGGAAGGUGGGGAUGACGUCAAAUCAUCAUGCCCUUUAUGACUUGGGCUACACACGUACUACAAUGGCGUUAAACAAAGAGAAGCAAGACCGCGAGGUGGAGCAAAACUCAGAAACAACGUCCCAGUUCGGACUGCAGGCUGCAACUCGCCUGCACGAAGUCGGAAUUGCUAGUAAUCGUGGAUCAGCAUGCCACGGUGAAUACGUUCCCGGGCCUUGCACACACCGCCCGUCA